UAGGGAACAACCGACCGAAGCUAUCUUCGGGAAGUGUCAUCGUCGUACUAAUUCAUUGUAUUCUCAAUCUUCAAACUCCUAACAUGUUGAAAUCUUACGUACCAGGUAAUGGACAAGUGCAGUGGGUUGGAAGAAUAAGGGAUGUGGUGCCUUGUAGAUGAAAUAUUUGGAAGGUUGAUUCCUGACCUCACUUGGUUUUGCACUAGCUGUAUUGUAUCUUCCAGAAUUCGCUGGCUUCUAUGUAAUUGAGGAAUUGAGAGAAGAUUCCAUGCCUAGACAUUUCGUGGAGGAUUGAUCUCGACUGUUACGGCUAUGGAGGAGGCAGUGGGUGUGCAUUACACUAGAUGAGAUACAAUCAUGAAGGUGUUUGCGAUUCUUAGAUUGUCUUGUUUAACAACCGCCGUCGAUUGUUGAGCUACUGGGCCAAAAACUGGAGUUUCAUUUUCUUUCGUUUCGAUAUGUUUGAUGCUGGUGAUUUCAUGAUCUACGUAGUAAUGUGGUAUUGCUUCUUGGUCAACGUCAUCGGGAAUCCGAGGAGUUCAUUUUACACAAGAUGGACUGGUUUAUUGUUCGGUGUUUUUUUUCUGGCGCCAUCUUCAUAGGAUAUUAGGUUGCUCGGUCGGUUGUCUUGGAGUACUUGGCGAGGAUGUUAUUGGGUCUGACUACGGUCUAUUGGAUUGUAGGAGAUUUUGUUUAUAUACGUUUUCUUGAUAAAUCCCUGUUGUCGAGGGAUAUAUGCGGUGGGACGCUGGAUUUAAUAGUGUCGGCCUAAGGAGUCCUGAGGUGUGUUAAUUUUCGAUCCGUUGCUUAACGUCUGUGGGAUGGUAUGGAGUUAUGAAACUUGCACAAGUUUGUCGCAGUUUUGAAGGUCUUUGGAUUUGGAGCGAAGUUUAUUGUAAAGUUCCGAUACAGCAGUAUGGACGAAAAUGUUACUGGGAAAUUAGUGUCAUUAUGGGAGAAAUUAGUAACAAUAGAUAGACUUAUUAUCUGUUUUUGAUUCUGUUUCCUUUUCCAAUUGCAUAAUACAACAUGAUCACUAUGUGUGUAUAAUCUGC